rnacentral:rRNA from 1 species
CACGUAUUUAGCCGUCGCUUCUUCUGCAGGUACCGUCAUUUUUUUCUUCCCUGCUGAAAGCACUUUACAAUCCGAAAACCUUCAUCGUGCACACAGAAUUGCUGGAUCAGGGUUGCCCCCAUUGUCCAAUAUUCCCCACUGCUGCCUCCCGUAGGAGUAAGGGCCGUAUCUCAGUCCCCUUGUGGCCGUCCACCCUCUCAGGCCGGCUACCUAUCAUCGCCUUGGUGAGCCGUUACCCCACCAACAAGCUAAUAGGACGCAAGGCUCUCCUGCAGCAUCUCUUUUCAUCAGGCUGGACAUGAGUCCGCCUGACUUUACCAGGUCUUAUCAGUCGUUUCCGUCUGUUAUCCCUGACUGCAGGGCAAGUUCCUUACGCGUUACUCACCCGUCCGCCUUGGCUAGGCUGUGCAAGCACAGCUUCGCCAAAGACUUGCAUGUGUUAAGCAUUCUGUCAGCGUUCAUCCUGAGCCAGGAUCAAACUCU